UUAUGACCAUAUCAUGUUGAAACACUGGUUCUCAACCAAUCACCAAAGUUAAGCAAUGUUGUGCUGGGUCAGUAUUCAGAUGGGUGAUCAUUAGGGGAGUACCAGGUGCUGUAA